UACGUAGGGGGCUAGCGUUGUCCGGAUUUAUUGGGCGUAAAGAGCGUGUAGGCGGCCAAGUAGGUCCGGUGUGAAAACUCGAGGCUUAACCUCGAGAUGUCGAUGGAAACCGUCUGGCUAGAGUCCGGAAGAGGAGUGUGGAAUUCCUGGUGUAGCGGUGAAAUGCGCAGAUAUCAGGAAGAACACCUAUGGCGAAGGCAGCACUCUGGGACGGUACUGACGCUGGGACGCGAAAGCGUGGGGAGCGAACAGG
rnacentral:rRNA from 1 species